rnacentral:rRNA from 1 species
AGUAACGCGUGAGGAACCUGCCUCAAAGAGGGGGACAACAGUUGGAAAGACUGCUAAUACCGCAUAAGCCCACAGCUCGGCAUCGAGCAGAGGGAAAAGGAGUGAUCCGCUUUGAGAUGGCCUCGCGUCCGAUUAGCUAGUUGGUGAGGUAACGGCCCACCAAGGCAACGAUCGGUAGCCGGACUGAGAGGUUGAACGGCCACAUUGGGACUGAGACACGGCCCAG